rnacentral:rRNA from 1 species
GACGAACGCUGGCGGCGUGCUUAACACAUGCAAGUCGAACGGAAAGGCCCUGCUUGCCGGGUACUCGAGUGGCGAACGGGUGAGUAACACGUGGGUGAUCUGCCCUGCACUUCGGGAUAAGCCUGGGAAACUGGGUCUAAUACCGGAUAGGAGCCAUUUUUAGUGUGAUGGUUGGAAAGUUUUUUCGGUGUAGGAUGAGCUCGCGGCCUAUCAGCUUGUUGGUGGGGUAAUGGCCUACCAAGGCGGCGACGGGUAGCCGGCCUGAGAGGGUGGACGGCCACAUUGGGACUGAGAUACGGCCCAGACUCCUACGGGAGGCAGCAGUGGGGAAUAUUGCACAAUGGGCGCAAGCCUGAUGCAGCGACGCCGCGUGGGGGAUGACGGCCUUCGGGUUGUAAACUCCUUUCGCUAGGGACGAAGCUUUUUGUGACGGUACCUAGAUAAGAAGCACCGGCUAACUACGUA